rnacentral:rRNA from 1 species
UACGUAGGGUGCAAGCGUUAAUCGGAAUUACUGGGCGUAAAGCGUGCGCAGGCGGUUCGCUAAGACAGAUGUGAAAUCCCCGGGCUUAACCUGGGAACUGCAUUUGUGACUGGCGGGCUAGAGUAUGGCAGAGGAGACUGGAAUUCCUGGUGUAGCAGUGAAAUGCGUAGAUAUCAGGAGGAAUACCGAUGGCGAAGGCAGGUCUCUGGGCUGACACUGACGCUCAUGCACGAAAGCGUGGGGAGCAAACAGG